GGAAGCGUUUCCGGGGGCGGGAGGCUCAGGCUGAGGCGGUCGCGGCGGCGACGGCUUGAACGGGCCUGGCGCCGGCGGCGGCGGAAAGUAUCCCACCGGUGGGCUAUGUGAGCGUAGAGGACUUGGCAGAAAUCAAUGUGAUUUUAAUUUGAAACAAAACUAAGAAAUGGGUUCCUCUUCCUCGUUCAUUCAUACUGCUUUUUGAUGGUCAUGGCAUAAGGAACUUUAUCCCAGGAAUACAGCUUUGCAUUAGCACCAAACAAGAUUUGUGAUGAAAUGGAGCCUGGAACAAACUCUUUUCGAGUAGAAUUUCCUGAUUUUUCCAGCACCAUUCUGCAGAAACUGAACCAGCAGCGCCAGCAAGGACAAUUAUGUGAUGUCUCCAUUGUUGUCCAAGGCCACAUUUUCCGAGCACACAAAGCCGUUCUUGCUGCCAGUUCACCCUACUUUUGUGACCAGGUACUCCUGAAAAACAGCAGGAGGAUUGUUUUGCCUGAUGUGAUGAACCCCAGAGUGUUUGAGAACAUUCUCCUGUCAAGUUACACGGGACGUCUAGUAAUGCCUGCUCCAGAAAUUGUUAGUUACUUAACAGCAGCAAGCUUCCUCCAGAUGUGGCAUGUGGUAGACAAAUGCACUGAGGUUUUAGAAGGAAACCCUACAGUCCUUUGUCAGAAGCUAAAUCAUGGCAGUGACCACCAGUCUCCCAGCAGCAGUAGUUACAACGGCCUGGUAGAGAGCUUUGAGCUGGGCUCUGGGGGCCAUACAGAUUUCCCCAAAGCCCAGGAACUGAGGGAUGGAGAGAAUGAAGAGGAGAGCACCAAAGACGAGCUGUCAUCUCAGCUCACCGAGCAUGAAUACCUUCCUAGCAACUCGUCCACAGAGCAUGACCGGCUGAGCACUGAGAUGGCGAGCCAGGAUGGGGAGGAGGGGGCCAGCGACAGUGCCGAGUUCCACUACACCCGGCCCAUGUACAGCAAGCCCAGCAUAAUGGCUCACAAACGCUGGAUCCAUGUGAAGCCUGAGCGCUUUGAGCAAGCGUGCGAGGGCAUGGAUGUGCAUGCAUCCUACGAUGAACACCAGGUCACAGAGUCCAUCAACACCAUGCAGACAGAGCACUCGGUCCAGCCCUCGGGAGUAGAGGAAGACUUUCACAUCGGGGAAAAGAAAGUGGAAGCAGAGUUUGAUGAACAGGCUGAUGAAAGCAAUUAUGACGAGCAGGUGGAUUUCUAUGGCUCUUCCAUGGAAGAGUUUUCCGGAGAGAGGUCGGAUGGGAAUCUCAUUGGGCACAGACAGGAGGCUGCCCUAGCAACAGGCUACAGUGAGAAUAUUGAAAUGGUAACAGGGAUUAAAGAAGAAGCUUCCCACCUAGGAUUCUCAGCCACCGACAAGCUGUAUCCUUGUCAGUGUGGGAAAAGUUUCACUCACAAGAGUCAGAGAGAUCGACACAUGAGCAUGCACCUUGGCCUUCGGCCUUAUGGCUGUGGUGUCUGUGGUAAGAAAUUCAAAAUGAAGCAUCAUCUCGUGGGCCACAUGAAAAUUCACACAGGCAUAAAGCCAUAUGAGUGUAAUAUCUGUGCAAAGAGGUUUAUGUGGAGGGACAGUUUCCACAGGCAUGUGACUUCUUGUACCAAGUCCUACGAAGCUGCAAAGGCUGAGCAGAAUACGACUGAGGCUAACUAAAAAUAGGCUCUGGCCCUUGAGUGGCAGGCACAAAAAUAAACUAUGGUAAUUAUGCAAAUCUGGGCACAGAUGAUGCGUGCUACUUGCUAUUAUGAGAGAAGCUUAAAAAAAAGGAAGAUAUUUCUGAAAGACCAGCUCUAAGUAGGCCAAUUAAAAAAUCUUAAUUCUUCAAAUUUGUAUGUUUCAGGCCUGGAGUGGGUAAUGGGGAUAAGUUAGCCCACCUCACACCUGGCAAGGUAAACCUUCAGGCCCAUUGUGAAUGAGGCAGGUGGACUUGGUGAUAGAGACACCUGCACUUGGAAUUGGACUCCAACCCACCAGUUCCAUUUCAGGUGGCAGCAGUUUUUGAUCACUCAUUAUUACAAGGUCAUAUUGGAAUUUUAUUUUGCUCUUACUAUAGAUACUUAGGUAAUGUGAGUUUGUUUUGGUAGCUGCUUCACUGAAUGAAAUGCUACUUAUGUAAUAGCUACAAAUAAUGUGAUUCCUAGGAUACUAAGUUGAUUACCAGAGCUCUCUUACCUGGGUUUAUUCUUUCUAAAGGGUAUUUUAACCAAAACUAUGGAGAUACUAAGAGGGUGACAUUCUAAGUAAGAAACAAAUAACUUAUGGUACAAGCUUCAAAUUCUGUAAGAUGCCACUGUCACAGUGUGUUUCAGACUCUUGAUAAGUCAGAGUUUUAUAUUUUAGUACUAACAUUUAGUUUAAACAACUGUUUCUAAUUGUAAUUCUCUAGGGUGCCAGACAUAGGUAUUUCUAAGUGGUUUGCUGUCCCAAAUCCCGUUUAAUUGUAGCAUCCACACAGGGGGAUCUGCUCUGUGGCUAGUAGACAUCUAGCCUGCUUUGACUCUGACCACGGUACCAUUUGCUGCUCCAGCCGAUUCACUCUGUCUUAGAUUAUGGUGCUUCCUGAAGAGGUCAGUCAAUGACCACAGUUACUGGGAAGGAGCCAGAAGUCACGGCUGAGAGUUACCUAUGAACUUCAGGAGCUAAUAGAGUGCUACAGUGACACUCCAACUGUCAGAAUGAGAGUAGCCGAGUAGCAGAAUUUUGAGUGUCAGGUUAUACUUGGGCAGGGCGAGUUGUGGGGUACAGUUACCCGAGAAAAGAGGAGUCUUGACAAUACACUGGUGGGGGAGAUACUCGUAUAGGGGUACACUGAGCUAAUCCUCCUGGCUCUCUAGGAGUGCUGGAAUGUGUUUGAAAAGGUGGAAAGGAAGAGUCCUAAUUUUAGGAAGUAGUCCACAGAUUCAUGCUCUCAUAUUAUAGAUAAAGCUGCAUAAGUUUACAAGUCCACAUAGCUAUAUCUACCAAAAAACAAGAAAAGCAGCUAUUCUGAGACCUUUUCUGAGGAUCACUCAGAGGUUUUAGGUUAAAAAAGAAGCAUGUUCAGGAUGUUUUAAGCUGUGUAACAUACCUGAAGCUGUCACCAGGGUAGGGACAGGGUGCUACUGUUAUGUUAACUUUUCCGUAAACUUACCGUCUUUAUUAUUUCUUAGUGGAAACUUUUUUUCCUUAAAAUAAAAAUAACUUUUCUUGGAUUUGGGGUGAAAUUUUGUUCUAAAAGUUUUUUGGCUUUGCUCUAAAGUGAGAGACUUUGCUGGCAGUGGCCUCUGAUCCUCAAGCUCCUACCAUCAAGGCAUUUACUGGUUAAAUGUUGUUUGGAAAGGGGAAAGAAGGACUGACUUACCAGUUAACUCUUGUAAUUGAGGUUACAAAACAGGGAUGUAUUCAUUAACACUGUAUCAUUCUCGAUAUAUAAAAAGCACUUUGUAUUUAAAACUUUAUUAUAAAUAUAUAUAUGUAUAUAUAUAUAGAUAGAUAGAUUUUUUAACCUAGAAACUAGAUAAUUACCUCUUGGUUGUUUGCCACAUUAAUAUCUUCUUCUCUUAGUGUUGAAACUUCACCAGUUAACAGUCAUUUCUCUGUGUACCUAACAGAGAAUAUAGAGGUGACUUACAAUCAAGCUCAAUCGCUCCUUCUUUUUUCUCGCGUUAGAAGCAAUGGGUUUUAGGUGUGAGCCUAGCCUUUAUCUGUGAGGAGAAAUGGUUGUAUUACUCCUACUAAUUUCAGUACUAAGGCAGUAAAGCCAUUUUGUUCUGCCAGAAGCUGAUCAUCCUCUCCCAUGGUUAUCAGCAAACCAUUUUUUCCCUGUUUGGAAGGUUUGAUGUGCUGGUUUCUAUUAAAGAUUAUAUUCAAAUGAGUGUUGGGACACUUGGGAAGAAGAGUCUGAGAGGUAAAAUAAAAACAUUCUGGAAAAAUCAUGGUCCUUCAAUUAUGUUGAGAUCAGCACAGCACCCCGUCAUGUGUAAUGGUGAGGAAGAGCUCUUGUUCAGCCAGGACUACUGGGCAGCUCUUUGGUGGUAGUUUCGGAAGCAGUCAUUUGUGCUGGGACUUAUAUAAGGUGUUAUGAAGAGAGGGAUAUCUUUUAUUGAACUCCUUAUAUGUACAUCAGCUACUAAAUGUAGAAUAUAAAAUGUAAGUUCCUCACAUCUGCAGUUUUAAGCUUUUUAUGAGAGUGGGGUUUUUGUAAAAAUUAGAGUUGCUAAUCAGGUCAGCCAGACCCUGCGAGGUGGUUGGGCAUCUGAAAUGCUGGCCGUGUUCAGAGAGGCGGGGGAAGGGGAUUGCCUUAGUUUGGAUGUUAAAAGUGAAUCUUUAUAAACUUUGCUUUUAGGAUUAGGAGAUUAUACUAUAUUACUACCUUUUUUUUUUUUUCCUGCCCACCCUGGGUUGGCUAGAUAGUCUCUCUCCUUACCCUCAGUACAGCUUUAGAAAAUCUUUAUCCUUCCCAUUGAGUUUGGAUAGCAGGGGGUUAACAUUUCCAAACAGUCUUUCAGGGAUCUUGUCAAUGGCCUACAACCAAGGUAUUUGUCCCCUACUUUGAGUCUUAACUGUGGUUUUUCUCCAAUCCCAGUGGGACAGGGCUUCAAGGCACCACCAGUGGUAUUUAAUAUUAGUACUUAUGCUAUGCCUUUAAUUUUAGAUACACACAUUGCAAUAAUCCACUUGGUAAAGUAGGUAUCACCGUCUAACUGAGGAAGGACUACGAUAGCCUCUCCUCAACUGUGGAGGGUUGCCCUCUGGCACUCUCGGACCCCAGCCUGUUGAUUCUGAUUUCUAGAUCUCACUUUAUUCCCGUCUCUUGUUUUGGCCACUGCUUUCAAAGAGUCUGCCCAAAAGGGUCUCCUCUGUCCUAGUGGGCACUUGCUGAACUAAACUGACCCUAAGCUGACUUGUAGCUGUUUGGGAAAGCUGCUUAGUCUCAGUGGUCUUCCCACGGAGGCACACACCUCCUCAAGCUGCUGUAGAAGUGAAGUUGGGGCAGAGCAGAAGCAACAACACUGCUUUCCCUGAGGAAGAGGAUUUGCUGCACCCCCUGGGCGAGGGUGGAGAGGAUGCCGCCACGCCGAAGCCAGGUGUUUGCUUUUAUAAGGUCUCUGAUAAUUAAGAAUGCUGAAGACCAAGCAACAUACAUCCGCGGCCUCACCCGCAGCCCUCUGUGCCACACUAGUUUUGUGAUUUAGGUUGCUUUCAUGGGUGGCUAACUUUGUUCAGUGAAACCAGGGUGUGUGUUUGUUUGGGUUUUUCCUUUGCUACUUAUGUGUUUAAAGGUACAUGUUUCUUAUUUCAAAUCUCUACUGAUAGUGCCCUAUGGGAAGAUGCUGGAACACAUUUUGCAAAUGUGACUUUUUUUUUUUUUUUUUUUUUUUAGUUUUGCUUGAAGCCUGUGUCAUAAUGUCAGUUGCUGCUGCCUUCUUUCCUUUUAUGAGGUUCCCAAUGUUUCUUCUAGAAAAUUACUUUAUUUAUGCAAGUCAGGUGACUCUUUAGACCACAAAACCAUUUGAUGAUAAAUAGAUUAUCAUUAGGUGCAUAUCUUAUUGAUAUUUUGUGAAAUGUUAUGCCUGUGUUGCAAAAGUUGAAUAGUUUUGUCUUUAUAUAUUGCUGUCUUCAGUGUACAGCAUGGUUUUACUUAAUUGAGUGUUACUGUUGAAUAUUUUCUUCUUAUAGAAGAGACCACGCCCUUUUGUAUGACAUGUUUUAAUAAAUGUUAUCUGUCAACUUUGUAAAAG